UACGAAGGGGGCUAGCGUUGCUCGGAAUCACUGGGCGUAAAGGGUGCGUAGGCGGGUCUUAAGUCAGGGGUGAAAUCCUGGAGCUCAACUCCAGAACUGCCUUUGAUACUGAGGAUCUUGAGUUCGGGAGAGGUGAGUGGAACUGCGAGUGUAGAGGUGAAAUCGUAGAUAUCGCAAGAACACCAGUGGCGAAGGCGCUCACUGGCCCGAUACUGACGCUGAGGCACGAAAGCGUGGGGAGCAACAGG
rnacentral:rRNA from 1 species